ACAAGCGGUGGAGCAUGGUAGGUUUAAUUACGAAGACAACGACGAAAGUAACCCUUAACCAAAUUCUUGACACUCCUCUCGACCCCUCUAGAGAUAGAGGUUUCCCCUUCGGGGGACAGAGUGACAGGUGGUGCAUGGUUGUCGUCAGCUCGUGUCGUGAGAUGUUGGGUUAAGUCCCGCAACGAGCGCAACCCUUAAGCUUAGUUGCCAUCAUUAAGUUGGGCACUCUAAGUUGACUGCCGGUGACAAACCGGAGGAAGGUGGGGAUGACGUCAAAUCAUCAUGCCCCUUA
rnacentral:rRNA from 1 species